UCCGCCGUGGGCAAGCUGGGUCUGCGGGAGAGCCGGUGGGCUGGUUCCAGCCGAGAGCCGCUAGGCUCAAGACCCAGGAGGAGCCCAUGUUUCGAUCCAGUCCAGAGCAGGAGAGAACGGAAGCGCCAGCUCCAGAGGCACACGGAGGAGGAGCAAGGAACAAGGCAUAAAUGGAGUCAGGGUCUUUGAAGACAGCAGCAGUAACAACACAUAUAUUUGAGAAGCUAGGCUGAGAACUGAUGCUGGUUCUGUCCUGAGCCCUGGAGGGAAUCGUCAGAUUGUUGGAUGUCCCCACUCCUGUGGCCUUGCCCAGUUCUGAACGUGGCGGAUAGAUAUGAUAUCAGAGAGCUUCCUGUCCGGGGGCUGUGGAAGAACAGGCGUGUCCCAGAUGAGCUGUGUGCAGGCACGCCUGGAAGCAAGGGGAUGAAUGGGAGACCCCAGCUCCUAUCGGUCCCAAACAGGUCUCCUUUCUGGCUCCUCUUAUCCAGUCACUGACUGAGCCCAAGUCCAGGUAGAAACUUGUCUGUCUGGAUUUCCAGGAUUGCCGAAGCCAUCUGCCGUCCAGGCCUAAGAGCUCUUGUGCAAAGAUGAAGCCAUGAUAACGGGCGCUAAGGGGCACAGGGCGUUUCAGCACAGAGGCCCAUCAGGGAGACGUAUGGCGGACGGGAUAACUUGCACGACGGAGUGGUGAGGGCAA